rnacentral:rRNA from 1 species
UACGAAGGGGGCUAGCGUUGCUCGGAAUCACUGGGCGUAAAGCGCACGUAGGCGGCUCUCUAAGUCAGGGGUGAAAUCCUGGAGCUCAACUCCAGAACUGCCUUUGAUACUGGAGAGCUUGAGUCCGGAAGAGGUGAGUGGAACUCCGAGUGUAGAGGUGAAAUUCGUAGAUAUUCGGAAGAACACCAGUGGCGAAGGCGGCUCACUGGUCCGGUACUGACGCUGAUGUGCGAAAGCGUGGGGAGCAAACAGG